rnacentral:miRNA from 1 species
UGAUUGUCCGAGCGCAGUUCUU